rnacentral:misc_RNA from 1 species
UCUCCGUUGGUAAACCAGCGGAGGGAUCAUUACCGAGUGCAAACUCAUAACCCUUUGUGAACCUAUAUCUGUUGCUUCGGCGGCUCGCUCUCGGGCGAGCCCGCCGGUAAUAUCAGUAUCUCUGUUUGAACCCGACGAUACUUCUGAGUGUUCUUAGCGAACAGUUAAAACUUUUAACAACGGAUCUCUUGGCUCUA